UUGCUAUGGGCCAAUGAAAUCUUUCACUUA
rnacentral:piRNA from 1 species